GUCUAUAACUAUGUAAUAAACCAGCAUAAAACACUCAGUAAUAAACUCUUUUACUCUCUCUGGGCAUCACUCCAAAAAGAGAAAAGAAGCCGGUAGCUCUAAAAAUAGUUUGUCUAUGACAAUGGCAUCCUCCUCUUCUGCCACGGGCACAAAUCUCGAUCUCAUGAAAAAGGUUAGAAGUCAUGAAGUAGCAAUAGCAGAGCUCAGUAAUCUUUCAUCGUCUCGUACUGUCUAUCAGAAAAAUGGGAACCUUUUUUUCCGUACAACUGCCCAGAAAGCAACAGCUUCUGAACAAAAACAACUUGACUCGGCCAAGGCUAAGCUAGAAGGAUGAAUUCUACAUGAUUUCACCUCUAUUGCUUUGAAACUGGUCCUCUACCUUGCUGGUGAAAAAGCAUUCAGUAGUGCUGACAUUUGUGGUUACAGAUUGCUGGCUAUUCAAGUUUUAAGUCUCAUUCAAGAGCUGCGAAAUGUCUUUGAACUCUUGGAAUUUGCAGAUGGGAAGUGUUACUGGUAGUUGUUAGCUACAAUUGUUAAGUAACAGAACGAGACAUGACCAUGUAUUUAGACCUUCAUAGAUGAAACAUAGAGUAUUCAAUCCUUCCAAGUGUCAGUUUUUCUUCGUA